rnacentral:rRNA from 1 species
UACGUAGGGUGCAAGCGUUGUCCGGAAUUAUUGGGCGUAAAGAGCUUGUAGGCGGUUUGUCGCGUCUGCUGUGAAAUUUCGGGGCUCAACCCCGAACUUGCAGUGGGUACGGGCAGACUAGAGUGUGGUAGGGGAGACUGGAAUUCCUGGUGUAGCGGUGAAAUGCGCAGAUAUCAGGAGGAACACCGAUGGCGAAGGCAGGUCUCUGGGCCAUUACUGACACUGAGAAGCGAAAGCAUGGGGAGCGAACAGGA